rnacentral:rRNA from 1 species
GACGAACGCUGGCGGCGUGCUUAACACAUGCAAGUCGAACGCUGAAGCUCAGCUUUUGUUGGGUGGAUGAGUGGCGAACGGGUGAGUAACACGUGAGUAACCUGCCCCCUUCUUUGGGAUAACGCCCGGAAACGGGUGCUAAUACUGGAUAUUCACUGGUCUUCGCAUGGGGGUUGGUGGAAAGGGUUUUUCGGGUGGGGGAUGGGCUCGCGGCCUAUCAGCUUGUUGGUGGGGUGAUGGCCUACCAAGGCUUUGACGGGUAGCCGGCCUGAGAGGGUGACCGUUCACAUUGGGACUGAGAUACGGCCCAGACUCCUACGGGAGGCAGCAGUGGGGAAUAAUGCACAAUGGGCGCAAGCCUGAUGCAGCGCCGCCGCGUGAGGGAUGGAGGCCUUCGGGUUGUGAACCUCUUUCGCUCAUGGUCAAGCCGCAACAAUGGUUGUGGUGAGGGUAGUGGGUAAAGAAGCGCCGGCUAACUACGUG